rnacentral:rRNA from 1 species
UACGUAGGGCGCAAGCGUUAUCCGGAAUUAUUGGGCGUAAAGAGCUUGUAGGCGGUUUGUCGCGUCUGCUGUGAAAAUCCGGGGCUCAACCCCGGACUUGCAGUGGGUACGGGCAGACUAGAGUGUGGUAGGGGAGACUGGAAUUCCUGGUGUAGCGGUGAAAUGCGCAGAUAUCAGGAGGAACACCGAUGGCGAAGGCAGGUCUCUGGGCCGAUACUGACGCUGAGGAGCGAAAGCGUGGGGAGCGAACAGG